GGGACAGGGGGACGGAGCUGGUGAGCGGGCGAGGCCACCUGAAGAGCCUCCUGAGCACGGCGAUACACUUCACCGUGCUCGUGCUGGCGGUCGCGAGGCGACACCUGUAGGGCGCGAGGCGGCAACACCAGCAACAGAUGGUGCCUUUAGGACCCCGCAUGAGGAAUGGGCCCACAUCAUUUGCACUAGCAGCAAGAGAUGCAGGAGGAUGCGGUCCAGGAGGAGUUGAGCCCGACAGAAGAGGAGGAGGAGGAGGGGUUAAAUGUGUGUUUUAUGGUCGGGACUUUGUGUCUCACAAAAAAUAUUUAAAGAAGACUCAGUCAGGCCCGAUGUGGAUGCACUCUGAGUUUCAUACCGAGCCGACACGCUGAACCCCAGCAGCCCCUGCAGCCCGCCGGUUGCACGUCCUGCCCCCUGCGUGACUCUCCGAUUCAGUCAUCCCAGUAACAAAACGGUGAUGUAAUCCUCCCCUGGUAGAGCGGAGGGAAAAGCUUACUAAUAGGACUCCCUUUUGCAUUUGCAGCUCCCGCAGUGCGAGAGCAUGCAAAGGAGUUAAACUGAUUAGACCUUCAUAAAUGCAUCUAGGGCCACAAAUAGUGCAGCGAUCCUGGAAAAUGCACUGAAAAAAAGACCUGUUUCUGAGCUUCAUAAUGCACUGUAUUUUUUUUAUUUAUUUAUUUAUAUAAGCUUUAUGGUACGUGUACACGUCUAUAAUGAGAGGGAUGAAUGAUUUUUUAAUAGAUGUUUUCUACAGUGUUUAGAUGAUGUUUACACAUUCUCCUGUGCUUUAGCAUUAUCUUUCGCAGGCAGUGUUCAGUGGCUUUUUUUUAAUCCAAAACAAGAUACAGGACCUGUGCAUAGGAAGCUGUUAAUGCUGUCUGUGAUUUCUGGAAAUAAGCUUUCUCUCAUAUGUCAUGUGUAAUGUGAGCAGAAUUACUGAAACUGUCCUUUUAUAAAGCGUGUGCUAUUUAUACUUGAAUAUUUCAUAUGGAUUUUUAGCAGUUAAAAGUAAUAAAAAAUCUUUCUGAAAUAAA